rnacentral:rRNA from 1 species
AGUGAACGCUGGCGGUAGGCCUAACACAUGCAAGUCGAACGGCAGCACAGUAAGAGCUUGCUCUUACGGGUGGCGAGUGGCGGACGGGUGAGGCAUACAUCGGAAUCUACUUUUUCGUGGGGGAUAACGUAGGGAAACUUACGCUAAUACCGCAUACGACCUACGGGUGAAAGCAGGGGAUCUUCGGACCUUGCGCGAUUGAAUGAGCCGAUGUCGGAUUAGCUAGUUGGCGGGGUAAAGGCCCACCAAGGCGACGAUCCGUAGCUGGUCUGAGAGGAUGAUCAGCCACACUGGAACUGAGACACGGUCCAGACUCCUACGGGAGGCAGCAGUGGGGAAUAUUGGACAAUGGGCGCAAGCCUGAUGCAGCCAUACCGCGUGGGUGAAGAAGGCCUUCGGGUUGUAAAGCCCUUUUGUUGGGAAAGAAAAGCAGCAGGUUAAUACCCCGCUGUUCUGACGGUACCCAAAGAAUAAGCACCGGCUAACUUCGUG